rnacentral:rRNA from 1 species
UGGGGAAUUUUGGACAAUGGGCGAAAGCCUGAUCCAGCAAUGCCGCGUGUGUGAAGAAGGCCUUCGGGUUGUAAAGCACUUUUGUCCGGAAAGAAAUCCUUGGCUCUAAUACAGUCGGGGGAUGACGGUACCGGAAGAAUAAGCACCGGCUAACUACGUGCCAGCAGCCGCGGUAAUACGUAGGGUGCAAGCGUUAAUCGGAAUUACUGGGCGUAAAGCGUGCGCAGGCGGUUUGCUAAGACCGAUGUGAAAUCCCCGGGCUCAACCUGGGAACUGCAUUGGUGACUGGCAGGCUAGAGUAUGGCAGAGGGGGGUAGGAAUUGAUCCACGUGUAGCAGUGAAAUGCGUAGAGAUGUGGAGGAAUACCGAUGGCGAAGGCAGCCCCCUGGGCCAAUACUGACGCUCAUGCACGAAAGCGUGGGGAGCAAACAGGAUUAGAUACCCUGGUAGUCCACGCCCUAAACGAUGUCAACUAGUUGUUGGGGAUUC